rnacentral:lncRNA from 1 species
CUAAUUUACACAGAGGUAGAUAUUGGAGAACUACUCAUGUUGAAGCUCAAAUGGAAGAGUGAUUCAUACUUUAGCUGGUCAGACUGGUGGAGCAGUCCCGGCUUCGCCAUUCAGAAGAUCAGAGUAAAAGCAGGAGAGACUCAGAAAAAGGUGAUCUUCUGUUCUAGGGAGAAAGUGUCUCAUUUGCAGAAAGGAAAGGCACCUGCGGUAUUUGUGAAAUGCCAUGACAAGUCUCUGAAUAAGAAGUCAGGCUGAAACUGGGCGAAUCUACAGAACAAAGAACGGCAUGUGAAUUCUGUGAAGAAUGAAGUGGAGGAAGUAACUUUUACAAAACAUACCCAGUGUUUGGGGUGUUUCAAAAGUGGAUUUUCCUGAAUAUUAAUCCCAGCCCUACCCUUGUUAGUUAUUUUAGGAGACAGUCUCAAGCACUAAAAAGUGGCUAAUUCAAUUUAUGGGGUAUAGUGGCCAAAUAGCACAUCCUCCAACGUUAAAAGACAGUGGAUCAUGAAAAGUGCUGUUUUGUCCUUUGAGAAAGAAAUAAUUGUUUGAGCGCAGAGUAAAAUAAGGCUCCUUCAUGUGGCGUAUUGGGCCAUAGCCUAUAAUUGGUUAGAACCUCCUAUUUUAAUUGGAAUUCUGGAUCUUUCGGACUGAGGCCUUCUCAAACUUUACUCUAAGUCUCCAAGAAUACAGAAAAUGCUUUUCCGCGGCACGAAUCAGACUCAUCUACACAGCAGUAUGAAUGAUGUUUUAGAAUGAUUCCCUCUUGCUAUUGGAAUGUGGUCCAGACGUCAACCAGGAACAUGUAACUUGGAGAGGGACGAAGAAAGGGUCUGAUAAACACAGAGGUUUUAAACAGUCCCUACCAUUGGCCUGCAUCAUGACAAAGUUACAAAUUCAAGGAGAUAUAAAAUCUAGAUCAAUUAAUUCUUAAUAGGCUUUAUCGUUUAUUGCUUAAUCCCUCUCUCCCCCUUCUUUUUUGUCUCAAGAUUAUAUUAUAAUAAUGUUCUCUGGGUAGGUGUUGAAAAUGAGCCUGUAAUCCUCAGCUGACACAUAAUUUGAAUGGUGC